UACUCUCAGCAUGGAACACACUCAUACUACAGUGGGACCAAAGAAGAGCGGCCGGCCGCAUCUAUACAAUGUACAGGAGGAUCACUACGGGUGUCAGAAGUACAGUACAUUUUCAGACCAGAACAAUUUGAGUGUUUGUUACAUUUUUUACAGCGAGUUUCCAGAGCGACCGUCAUUACGCGCUAAUUUGGCUCCAACAUUAAAAUGUUCAACUACCGAAAAUGACUUGUAGAGCAAACAUCAUCUGCGCUGGUACAAGUUGUUACCCUGUAAUUCAGCGGGGAAGAUGAUGAUGUGAAAAGUCGUCAGAUCCAGGGUGGUGCAGGUGACACGGCAGGAGACUUGGCACCGGAUCUCACCAUCUUCUCGAGGAUGGGUGAUUGUGGGGGCAGGCCCG